GGAUUCCCCUAGUAACUGCGAGUGAAGAGGGAAAAGCUCAAAUUUAAAAUCUGGCUGUCUCUGGCUGUCCGAGUUGUAAUUUAGAGAAGUGUUACCCGUUGUUGGGCCGUGUACAAGUCUCCUGGAAUGGAGCGUCAUAGAGGGUGAGAAUCCCGUCUUUGACACGGACUCCAAUGCGUUGUGGUAUGCUCUCAAAGAGUCGAGUUGUUUGGGAAUGCAGCUCUAAAUGGGUGGUAAAUUCCAUCUAAAGCUAAAUAUUGGGGAGAGACCGAUAGCGAACAAGUACCGUGAGGGAAAGAUGAAAAGAACUUUGGAAAGAGAGUUAAACAGUACGUGAAAUUGCUGAAAGGGAAACGCUUGAAGUCAGUCGCGUUAGUUGGGGAUCAGCCUUCCUUUUGGUUGGUGUACUUCCCAGUUGACGGGUCAGCAUCAGUUUUGACCAGUGGAUAAGAGCUUGAGGAAUGUGGCAUCUUCGGGUGUGUUAUAGCCUCUUGUUGUAUACAUUGGUUGGGACUGAGGAACUCAGUACGCCGCAAGGCCGGGUUUUUAACCACGUUCGUACUUAGGAUGCUGGCAUAAUGGCUUUAAUCGACCC
rnacentral:sRNA from 1 species